rnacentral:lncRNA from 1 species
AGGUCUACAUUAGAUGAUGCUUCAUAACAAACACAAAUCACUAGACUUUGCCAUUUGUAACAUGUCCUGAUAAGUGCAACUGAUUGAGCCACAAAGCAGCUGUAAACAAAACUAAUUGGGUAAUAAUUUCUUGAACUCGUAUUGAAUUAGAGAUGUACAAGAAAUUAUGCAAUCGUCACUGAAUCGACAAACAUAUGCAACACCUUAUCUGACAUCCACAGGCUCGAUCAAGCCUCCAUCAUUCCUACCAAAGUCAAACAACUCCGCCCUCCAUCACUGUGUUAGAUGAAGACCAGAUCACGUGUACAACAUCCAAUCGAUACAUAGCUAAGAAGCAAAACUGAAAAUGAAGAAUAUAGCUCACAUUCUGAAAUUAAUCACGAGCUAAUCAUACCAUGACAGGAAACAACAACAGAAGACACUUUCAGAGAACUCAUUUAAGAUGUACACAGCUAAACCAAGCCAGAGAUACUCGUAAAAAUGGCAAGCAAAUACAUUACGACCAGCAGUCACCAAGAUUCAAAUAGUUCCAAACCAGCUGAACUCAAAUUCUCAUUACACUUCUUAAUCAAAUACCAAAAAUAGGCUACAUGGGAUUAGAAAUGAACCUGAAUCGACAAGCACCUGCAAUUAACUUUGCUCAAAUGUUGAAUACAAGUGAAAUCCAAUAACAAAUAUUAGCAACCAACAGUAGAGAUGAGUAAGAAUCAGAAGCUCGGAUAACGACAAACUUAACUAUUUUCAGUCGAACCCCAUAUUAAACGAACUCCAUCACAAGCGAGAUUAACCCAGAGAUGAUAUGCAAAGAAAUCGAAUUUUUUGUAUUUUUGUUCUUUGAUUCUGACAAAGAAAGAGAGAAUUAAGCAUAAAAAGAAACUCGACCCAUUUUUUGGAAUAUUUUCUGUAUUUUUUACGAGAAGAAACAAGGAAGAUGAGAAUCGACCCCAGAAAUUCUUUUUAGAGAAAAACCAGAAGUAUUUUUCAUAUAAAAAAACUCAUCCAAAUUUCCUUCUAAAAUCCCUUUCCGAAAUCCAUCCUCAUAAAAAAAUCCCCUAAACAAAAGAGUCUCACCUAAUAUAUAUUCCUCCAAAGAUCUCGAACCUUCUUCCUUUAUCUCCUAGAAAUCCCUCUAAAUCUCUUUAUAAAAUCUGAAAUUUUUUUAGCCUUGCUUAUGGUGAAAACGGACAAAUGGAGGGAGUGGAUCGAAUCCAAUACAAUCCAAUGCUCCCCAUUUUUCCAUAUAUUCACCCCAAAGGCUAAAAUCCGAAAAAAAAAAAUCGAAGCGAUAGCAUGUGAGGGAGAGAAUGUGUUAGAGGUGGUCAGAAAUAUGGUGACGAGGAGAAAGGAGAACGCGUGAGGCGAUAUUGGGAGCUCACUCGCGUGAAUUUUGGGCUGAAAUGAGGGUCGGGUUCGGGUGUUCUUCAGAGAAGAAGAACAUUCACGUGGGUGUGCUUC